rnacentral:rRNA from 1 species
GGAAACGGUGGCUAAUACCGGAUGUGCCGAAAGGUGAAAGAUAUAUUGCCUGAAGAUGAGCUCGCGUCUGAUUAGCUAGUAGGUGUGGUAAGAGCGCACCUAGGCGACGAUCAGUAGCUGGUCUGAGAGGAUGAUCAGCCACACUGGGACUGAGACACGGCCCAGACUCCUACGGGAGGCAGCAGUGGGGAAUUUUCCGCAAUGGGCGAAAGCCUGACGGAGCAAUACCGCGUGAGGGAGGAAGGCUCUUGGGUUGUAAACCUCUUUUCUCAGGGAAGAACAUAAUGACGGUACCUGAGGAAUAAGCAUCGGCUAACUCCGUGCCAGCAGCCGCGGUAAUACGGAGGAUGCAAGCGUUAUCCGGAAUGAUUGGGCGUAAAGCGUCCGCAGGUGGCUAUGUAAGUCUGCUGUUAAA